rnacentral:tRNA from 1 species
UUAGGAUUUGGUGUAGCAUGGUAGCACGAAGAUUUUUGGAUUCUUAAGGUUAGGUUCGACUCCUAUAGUCCUAG